GCUUCAGUGGUGCAAUCGGUCAGCGCGAGGUACUUACAAUGCUGAGGUUGUGAGUUCAAGCCUCACCUGGAGCA